GGCCGGCUGGCCUAAUGGUUAAGGCGUCAGUUUCCGGCUUUGUGCGUUAGCUGAAGAUUCUGGGUUCGAAUCCCAGGUUGGUCG
rnacentral:tRNA from 1 species